rnacentral:lncRNA from 1 species
UGCAGUGGUGUAAUUUCGGCUCACUGCAACCUCCGCCUCCCGAGUUCAAGCAGUUCUCCUGCCCUUAUACCUCCAUGUCCACACCACCCUCUUCCUCUCUUACUCCUCCUUGGGCUUCCUGGCCCAACUAGUUUCCAGUAUACUAGGGUAUACUUAGACCUUCUCAAUGCCCCAUGCUCACUGACUUGGGGUGCACUGGAGACACUGAUCUCUUAUUUUAAAAUGAAAAUCAGUGAAUAGGUGGAUGUGAGGAUUUUCCAUUCACCUUCCAGGUACGUCUCCUGCCUUCAUUCCUUCAAUGCUCUGGGCCAUGCCCUCUCGCGAUAGGGGAACAGGGUUGCAAAGGGCAAACGAGGGAGGCCCUUCUUCCAGGAAGCCUAUUAUACAAGAGCAUUCCAGGGCUCACUGGUGCUGUCCUGUGAGCCGCAGCAGGCUGGCAGGGGACAGCAUGACCCAGGAAGGGUGCCUAAGCCACC